GAUGAACGCUGGCGGCGUGCUUAACACAUGCAAGUCGAACGAAGCAUUUGCGACAGAUUUUUUCGGAAUGAAGUUGCUUAUGACUGAGUGGCGGACGGGUGAGUAACGCGUGGGUAACCUGCCUUGUACUGGGGGAUAGCAGCUGGAAACGGCUGGUAAUACCGCAUAAGCGCACAAUGUUGCAUGACAUGGUGUGAAGAACUCCGGUGGUAUAAGAUGGACCCGCGUCUGAUUAGCUAGUUGGUGAGAUAACAGCCCACCAAGGCGACGAUCAGUAGCCGACCUGAGAGGGUGACCGGCCACAUUGGGACUGAGACACGGCCCAGACUCCUACGGGAGGCAGCAGUGGGGAAUAUUGCACAAUGGAGGAAACUCUGAUGCAGCGACGCCGCGUGAGUGAAGAAGUAAUUCGUUAUGUAAAGCUCUAUCAGCAGGGAAGAUAGUGACGGUACCUGACUAAGAAGCUCCGGCUAAAUACGUG
rnacentral:rRNA from 1 species